UACAGAGGAUGCAAGCGUUAUCCGGAAUGAUUGGGCGUAAAGCGUCUGUAGGUGGCUUUUUAAGUCCGCCGUCAAAUCCCAGGGCUCAACUCUGGACAGGCGGUGGAAACUACCAAGCUGGAGUACGGUAGGGGCAGAGGGAAUUUCCGGUGGAGCGGUGAAAUUCGUAGAUAUUGGGAAGAACACCGGUGGCGAAGGCGGCUCACUGGCUCGUAACUGACGCUCAUGCACGACAGCGUGGGGAUCAAACAGG
rnacentral:rRNA from 1 species